rnacentral:rRNA from 1 species
UACGAAGGGGACUAGCGUUGUUCGGAAUCACUGGGCGUAAAGCGCACGUAGGCGGAUUUGUAAGUCAGGGGUGAAAUCCCGGGGCUCAACCUCGGAACUGCCUUUGAUACUGCGAAUCUUGAGUCCGAUAGAGGUGGGUGGAAUUCCUAGUGUAGAGGUGAAAUUCGUAGAUAUUAGGAAGAACACCGGUGGCGAAGGCGGCCCACUGGAUCGGUACUGACGCUGAGGUGCGAAAGCGUGGGGAACAAACAGG